rnacentral:rRNA from 1 species
GACGAACCGAGCGAACGUUAUUCGGAAUCACUGGGCUUAAAGGGCGCGUAGGCGGGCAUUCAAGUCUAUGGUGAAAUCCUCCAGCUCAACUGGAGAACUGCCGUGGAUACUGGGUGUCUCGAGGGAGGUAGGGGCGUGCGGAACUAAUGGUGGAGCGGUGAAAUGCGUUGAUAUCAUUAGGAACUCCGGUGGCGAAGGCGGCACGCUGGACCUCGUCUGACGCUGAGGCGCGAAAGCCAGGGGAGCAAACGGG